UACGGAGGAUGCAAGCGUUAUCCGGAAUGAUUGGGCGUAAAGCGUCCGCAGGUGGCUGUGUAAGUCUGCUGUCAAAGAGCGAAGCUCAACUUCGUAAAGGCAGUGGAAACUACACGGCUAGAGUGCGUUCGGGGCAGAGGGAAUUCCUGGUGUAGCGGUGAAAUGCGUAGAGAUCGGCAGGAACACCCAGGGGGAAACCAGUGGACUGGCACGGUGCUGACGCUCAGGUGCGAAAGCGUGGGGAGCGAACCGG
rnacentral:rRNA from 1 species